UCGACGCGGACGAAGUCGCGGGCAUCAUCUAGUGUUUUCAUAAAAUCUGAUGUCUUACGGAGUGACAUAUUCCCAAAAGGAAAAAACUCCUCAAAUAAAGAAU